GUCUACGACCAUACCAACUUGAACGCGCCUGAUCUCGGAAGCAAAGCAGGGUCGGCCCUGGUUAGUACUUGGAUGGGAGACCGCCUAGGAACACCGGGUGCUGUAGGCU
rfam:Pongo abelii chromosome 1.